CCACAAGAUGAUGGAGCUGCUGACUGGAGAGGUUCCUGUAAGGUGUCAGGAUGUGGCGGUGUAUUUCUCCAUGGAGGAGUGGGAGUAUAUAGAAGGACAGGAGGAUCUGUACGAGGAGGCCAUGAUGGAGGAGCCCCGGCCUCUGACAUCUCCAGGUUCUGACUCCAGGAGGAGAAAUCCCCCCGAGAGAUGUCCCCGUCCUCUGUAUUCCCAGGAC